rnacentral:rRNA from 1 species
CAGCAGCCACGGUAAUACGGAGGGUGCAAGCGUUAAUCGGAAUUACUGGGCGUAAAGCGCACGCAGGCGGCUUCUUAAGUCGGAUGUGAAAUCCCUGAGCUUAACUUAGGAAUUGCAUUCGAUACUGGGAAGCUAGAGUAUGGGAGAGGAUGGUAGAAUUCCAGGUGUAGCGGUGAAAUGCGUAGAGAUCUGGAGGAAUACCGAUGGCGAAGGCAGCCAUCUGGCCUAAUACUGACGCUGAGGUACGAAAGCAUGGGGAGCAAACAGGAUUAGAUACCCCUGUAGUCCCUGUCUCUUAUAC